rnacentral:rRNA from 1 species
ACCCCGAACAGGGGAGUGAAAUAGAACCUGAAACCAUACGCUUACAACCGGUCGGAGCGGCUUCGUGCCGUGACGGCGUGCCUAUUGAAUAAUGAGCCUACGAGUUACUAAUCACUGGCGAGGUUAAGUGCUAGGAAGCACGGAGCCGAAGCGAAAGCGAGUCUGAACAGGGCGGCUAGUCAGUGGUUGUAGACGCGAAACCUUGCGAUCUACCCUUGAGCAGGAUGAAGGUUGGGUAACACCAACUGGAGGUCCGAACGAAUAAGCGUUGAAAAGCUUCUCGAUGACUUGAGGGUAGGGGUGAAAGGCUAAUCAAGCUGGGAAAUAGCUCGUACUCCCCGAAAUGCCUUUAGGGGCAGCGUUGUAAUAAAGAGUCUACUGGAGGUAGAGCUACUGAUUGGAUGCGGGGGCUUCACCGCCUACCAAAUCCUGACAAACUCCGAAUGCCAGUAGUAUGAUUUACAGCAGUGAGCGGCCGGGUGCUAAUGUCCGGUCACAAAAGAGGAACAACUCAGACCAGCAACUAAGGUCCCCAAGAAUAUGCUAAGUUGAUCUAACGAUGUUUUGUUGCAGAGACAGCUAGGAUGUUAGCUUGGAAGCAGCUAUUCAUUCAAAGAGUGCGUAACAGCUCACUAGUCGAGCGACAGAGCGUGGAUAAUAAACGGGCAUCAAGCAUAUCACCGAAGUUCUGGACGCGAAAGCGUGGUAGGGGAGCAUUCCAUCGACGUUGAAGCCGAUUCGUGAGGAUUGGUGGAGUUUAUGGAAAAGCAAAUGUAGGCAUAAGUAACGAUAAUGCGGGAGAGUAACCCGCACACCGCAAGACCAAGGUUUCCUGAUCAACGCUAAUCGGAUCAGGGUUAGUCGGGUCCUAAGGGUAAGCCGAACGGUGAUCUCGAUGGACAAUCGGUUAAUAUUCCGAUACUAACAUACACCUCGAUGGAGAGACGAAGGAACGUAAGUGUCGCCGCCUGACGGAAUAGGUGGUUAAAGGGCGUAGGUAAAGGAGCAGAUUAAGAGUUAGCUCCUGCUGAAACCCGACAGUACGGAGCGGCUACGGCCAAUCCGAUAGUGCACCCAAGUAGACUUCCGAGAAAAUCUUCUAAGUUAUAGUGUAUGUUACCCGUACCGUAAACCGACACAGGUGGUCGAGGAGAGUAUCCUAAGGUGCUCGAGUGAAUCACGGUUAAGGAACUAGGCAAAUUAACCCCGUAACUUCGGGAAAAGGGGUCCCUAUGAAAGUAGGGCGCAGCGAAAAGGUCCAGGCGACUGUUUAUCAAAAACACAGGGCUCUGCAAAUUCGAAAGAAGACGUAUAGGGCCUGACACCUGCCCGGUGCUGGAAGGUUAAGAGGGGAUGUCAUCGCAAGAGAAGCAUUGAAUCGAAGCCCCAGUAAACGGCGGCCGUAACUAUAACGGUCCUAAGGUAGCGAAAUUCCUUGUCGGGUAAGUUCCGACCUGCACGAAUGGUGUAACGAUCUGGACACUGUCUCAACCGUGAGCUCGGUGAAAUUGUAGUCCCGGUGAAGAUGCCGGGUACCCGCGACGGGACGAAAAGACCCCGUGAACCUUUACUAUAGCUUAACGCUGAAUUUGGGUACACAAUGUGUAGGAUAGGCCGGAGGCAUUGAGACGGGCACGCCAGUGUUCGUGGAGCCGACGUUGAAAUACGGCCCUUUGUGUACUUGGAUUCUAACCCCUCGAGGGGGACACCGUUUGGUGGGUAGUUUGACUGGGGUGGUCGCCUCCAAAAGCGUAACGGAGGCUUCCCAAGGUGCCCUCAGCACGAAUGGUAACCGUGCGCAGAGUGCAAUAGCAUAAGGGCGCUUGACUGUGAGACCGACAAGUCGAGCAGGUACGAAAGUAGGGUAUAGUGAUCCGGUGGUUCUGUGUGGACUGGCCAUCGCUCAAAGGAUAAAAGGUACUCCGGGGAUAACAGGCUGAUCGCCGCCAAGAGCUCAUAUCGACGCGGCGGUUUGGCACCUCGAUGUCGGCUCGUCACAUCCUGGGGCUGGAGAAGGUCCCAAG